AUUUUUUUCUUUUCUUUUUUUUUUUGGUGGGUGGGCAGGGCAGGGUUUGGUGGGGAGGAGUUGUGGGGAGAGAUACCUGGCCACGGGCUGGAACUGCCGGUUUGGCCAGUCUCAUGGUUUGGACCAUUUUCGGUUGAAAACAGUUUAAUACAGUUUUGGUCGAGUUCCAGUUCGGCUCUGCUUCUAAUGUAAAAAUAAAUAAAUAAAAGGGAUCCAACGUUCUUUUUUUUAAAAAAAAAUGAAAAAUUUGUAAUUUUUUGAAUUGUGCUGGUUCCGGGCCGGUUCAUGAACUGGAACUGUUGUCCUGGUCCACUCCACGAUUUGAACUGGCCUGUGGCCUGGUCUAUGGGGGAAUGAAAAGUACUCGUGGCUUUUUGUUUUAUCUUUAUACUGUAGAACAUAUCAUGAUAUUUUGAGUUCAUACCAGAUAUACAUCACUUUGUAUUGUGAUAUUUGAACAGUUGACCAAGAAUAAAAAUUAGGACUAAUCACCCAGAAGUAGUGAAGUGUCAGUUUGCAACUAUGGCUUCAACUAUUUGGAUAGCCAAUUGUAGCCUAAUCUUUAAUUAUGAUCUGCAAUUGUGGCCACCUCUCAGUAGUGCUUUGGCCACAUUGCAACUUAUAAUUAAAGAUCAGGUCACAAUUGGCUAUUUCUCCAUUUCAAGUCAUAAUUGCAAAUUCAUACCAAAAUUAGAUGCAUUUUCAAUGAAGAACCCUAGUUAUAACCAAUUGAUAUAAUAGUAUCAUAUAUUUGGAGAUGCAUUGUAUCAUGAUAUGUUGAACAAUUGACCAAGAAAAAACUUAUUAAGUUACUAACAAUGUGUGUCAAACUGCACACCAGGACUUCCAAGAAAGGCAUAGUUAGCAUUCUAUAGCCAGUAAACCUUACACUAUUGCUAUUAUUAAUGAUCUCAUAUUUGUCAAUAGUAAUGCAUUUAUAUAUUUAUUUAUGCAUUAAACUUUGAAUGCCAUUACUUGUAAAUUAAUAUCUAUAUCUUUAUUCUGUUUAUUUGUCUGCUUAUUGAACCAUCAGUAAAUUUGGCAAUUUAGACUUGAAAAGCAUUUUGGGUACGAUGGUAGGUAAUGUAAAGUAUAAAAAUUUACAAGGGAAUGAACCAUCUGUUUGAGCUCCAUUACAGACUACUAAACAUAUGCUAAAAUUAGACCCAGUCAUGGUCCAGCUCAGACCUGGAACUGGCCCAAUACAACCCAGGACCGGAGCCCCAGGUUAUUUUCUCUCCUCUCGAAUUGAAUGGGAACUGGUCAGGUUUAUUUUUGGGUCUGAACUGGCCUCUUUUAAAAACAAUAAAAAAUUUCAUUCUUUGGAUUUGAUCAAAAUCGGAUCGAACCAGAACUCGAAUGUGGACCCGGGGGACCUUGCAGUCCGGUUCCAAAGACCGAAACUGGUAGCAACAUCUUGCUAAAAUCCUGGUGGUUUGCUUGCAUGUUUUGUUUACAUUCUAUUUUUUUCCUUGCAGGAGACAAUUCCUGAGGUCAACAAUGAGUCUAUCAGUGAAUUGUCUGAGAAGGUUGCAAAGCUCCAUGCCUGAUACCUGAUACUUGUUAUAAUCUCAUGUAGAGAUUCAAAUGGCUUAACCUUAUCAUCUGCCCAUUUCCCUCCAUUAUAUGAACAGAGGGUGUUUCUCAAUGACCUAAAAAGAGGAUCAGGUAGAAGCUAACAUAGGACUUCAUUGGCUUAGUUACCCAUCAUUAAUGUCGCUAGAUUACAGGGAAGAGAUGCUUCCUUGUUAAUAGCUCCAUCUGUAAUCCUUUGUAUCUGGGCAGAAGUCCAUCUGCAUUUUGGACAAACAGCAUAGUAUUAUUUGUUAUUAUUCCAAUUUUUAUCCCUUUUUGCUUAGUGUGAUGGCAGGAAAAUAGAGUUUUGGCCUGAAGAGGGGUUGGCAUUAUGCUUGAUGACAGUUAUAGUAAGUUUUUAUUCAUGUUACAAAUCGCAUCAUUGGAUUAAUGUUUUUAUAAAGCAAUGAAGCAAACUCCGUGAAUUCUUUUAAUGCAUUGAUUCGUAUACUUUUGUUGGGG
rnacentral:misc_RNA from 1 species